ACUUGGUGGUGGUGGUGGUGGUGGCGGCAUUGAAGAGCUGGGUGGAGGAGAUGAAGGAGGUGGUGGAGGAGGUGGCUGCAUUGGUUGUUGCAAUGGUUGAUGACCAUGCAGAGGAGGAUACUGUGAUGAAGGGUAGUAUCCUCCUGAUGCUGGUGGAGGUGGAGGUGGAGGUGGAUAUGAUGAGUCUGGUGGUGGUGGUGGAGGUGGUUGUUGAUAUGGAUAUUGUUGGUGAGGUGGCGGUGGUGGUGGUGGAGGAUAAUGUUGUGAGAAUUUUUGCUGGUUAGGAAUUUGCAUUUGAUUGUAUUGAUUAGGUCUUUGCUGCUGCUGCUGCUGUUGUGGUGGUGGUGGUGGUGGUGGUGGUGGUAGUGUGGAUUGUGA
rnacentral:lncRNA from 1 species